rnacentral:rRNA from 1 species
UACGUAGGGUGCGAGCGUUAAUCGGAAUUACUGGGCGUAAAGCGUGCGCAGGCGGUUCGAAAAGUCCGAUGUGAAAGCCCCGGGCUCAACCUGGGAAUGGCAUUGGAAACUGGCGGGCUAGAGUGUGGCAGAGGGGGGUGGAAUUCCGCGUGUAGCAGUGAAAUGCGUAGAGAUGCGGAGGAACACCGAUGGCGAAGGCAGCCCCCUGGGCCGACACUGACGCUCAGGCACGAAAGCGUGGGGAGCAAACAGG